rnacentral:rRNA from 1 species
GACGAACGCUGGCGGCGUGCUUAACACAUGCAAGUCGAACGGUGAAGCGCCUUCCUUUUUGGUGGGUGUGGAUGAGUGGCGAACGGGUGAGUAACACGUGAGUAACCUGCCCCCUUCUUCUGGAUAACCGCAUGAAAGUGUGGCUAAUACGGGAUAUUCUGGGUCUGUCGCAUGAUGGGUCUGGGAAAGAUAUUGUUUCGGUGGGGGAUGGGCUCGCGGCCUAUCAGCUUGUUGGUGGGGUGAUGGCCUACCAAGGCGGUGACGGGUAGCCGGCCUGAGAGGGUGGACGGUCACACUGGGACUGAGACACGGCCCAGACUCCUACGGGAGGCAGCAGUGGGGAUUAUUGCACAAUGGGCGCAAGCCUGAUGCAGCGGCGCCGCGUGAGGGAUGGAGGCCUUCGGGUUGUGAACCUCUUUCGCCAGUGAAGCAGGCCUGCCUCGUUUGUGGGUGGGUUGACGGUAGCUGGAUAAGAAGCGCCGGCUAACUACGUG